GCUUACGGCCACACCUCCUGAGCACGCCCGAUCUCGUCUGAUCUCGGAAGCUAAGCAGGUCGGGCCCGGUUAGUACUUGGAUGGGAGACCGCCUGGGAAUACCAGGUGCUGUACGCC
rnacentral:rRNA from 1 species